AGAGGUGCUUGUGAAUUGGUAUCCGAGAAGGAAAGAAUUGCUAAUGGUGGUCUCAUGGUGAGGGAAGAGUUAAAGGAAGUUGUUUGUAGGCCUGGUGCUAGAUGGCUGACACACUCACCCUCAUCACUUCCUACUAGGUUGAGUUUGACGAGUUUUAACCCUAUUCACCGUGCUUGGGGUGAGUUUUGGCUUAAAAAUGUUAGAGUGGUUGGUAAUAACUCUGAAAUCCAGAUUGAUAAUGUUGCUGCUGUUCGUUUAUUAGCUGAUGGUCGUUAUGUCGAUCUUGGUCUUUGGUUACAAAAGGAUUUACAUGAAAUGGC
rnacentral:lncRNA from 1 species